ACUAACAAGGAUUCCCCUAGUAACUGCGAGUGAAGCGGGAAAAGCUCAAAUUUAAAAUCUGGCAGCCUUUGGCUGUCUGAGUUGUAAUCUAGAGAAGUAUUAUCCGCGCUGGACCGUGUACAAGUCUCCUGGAAUGGAGCGUCAUAGAGGGUGAGAAUCCCGUCUUUGACACGGACUGCCAGGGCUUUGUGAUGUGCUCUCAAAGAGUCGAGUUGUUUGGGAAUGCAGCUCAAAAUGGGUGGUAAAUUCCAUCUAAAGCUAAAUAUUGGCGAGAGACCGAUAGCGAACAAGUACCGUGAGGGAAAGAUGAAAAGAACUUUGGAAAGAGAGUUAAACAGUACGUGAAAUUGCUGAAAGGGAAACGCUUGAAGUCAGUCGCGUUGGCCAGGGAUCAACCUUGCUUUUUUGCUUGGCUUACUUUCUGGUCGAUGGGUCAGCAUCAAUUUUGACUGGUGGAAAAAGUUCAAGGGAAUGUGGCAUCUUCGGAUGUGUUAUAGCCUUUGUUCGCAUACAUCGGUUGGGAUUGAGGAACUCAGCACGCCGCAAGGCCGGGUUUUUAACCACGUACGUGCUUAGGAUGCUGGCAUAAUGGCUUUAAUCGACCCGUCUUGAAACACGGACCAAGGAGUCUAACAUGCCUGCGAGUGUUUGGGUGAAAAACCCGAGCGCGUAAUGAAAGUGAAAGUUGAGAUCCCUGUCAUGGGGAGCAUUGACGCCCGGAUCUGACCUUUUGUGACGAUUCUGCGGUAGAGCAUGUAUGUUGGGACCCGAAAGAUGGUGAACUAUGCCUGAAUAGGGUGAAGCCAGAGGAAACUCUGGUGGAGGCUCGUAGCGAUUCUGACGUGCAAAUCGAUCGUCAAAUUUGGGUAUAGGGGCGAAAGACUAAUCGAACCAUC
rnacentral:rRNA from 1 species